rnacentral:rRNA from 1 species
UCCGUAGGUGAACCUGCGGAAGGAUCAUUACCAAUCAGCGGGAGGCCGCGAGGCCUCCUGUACUGCCUGUUUGGCCGCCUUAACUGCGCGGUCAACUGGUUAACCCUUUGUGAACCAAAAAAACCUUUCGCUUCGGCAGCUGGGCCCUGACCGGCCUGUCAGCCUGCCGUUAGCACCCUUCAAAAACUUGUUGUCAAAACAUUGUCUGAUAACCAAAUUUUCGAAUGAAAAUUAAAACUUUCAACAACGGAUCUCUUGGUUCCCGCAUCGAUGAAGAACGCAGCGAAACGCGAUAGUUAAUGUGAAUUGCAGAAUUCAGUGAAUCAUCGAGUCUUUGAACGCACAUUGCGCCCAUUGGUAUUCCUUUGGGCAUGUCUGUUUGAGCGUCAUUACAACCCCUCAGCUAACGCUGGUUUUGAACCCGAACGGCCUCGUGCCGCACCGGUUUUAAAGUUGUAAGCUCUGCUGGCCGCUCUGCCCCAACCAGAACAUAGUAAGCAACUACUUGUUAGGGUGAAGGUGAACGGUUACGGCCUGAACAAAACCUACUUCUCAAGGUUUGACCUCAGAUCAGACAAGGAUACCCGCUGAACUUAAGCAUAUCAAUAAGCGGAGGA